rnacentral:tRNA from 1 species
UCUCUGAUAGUUUACUGGUUAGGAUUUGGGGCUUUCACUGCCAUGGCCCAGAUUCAAUUUCUGAUCAGAGAA